rnacentral:rRNA from 1 species
AGUGAACGCUGGCGGUAGGCCUAACACAUGCAAGUCGAACGGCAGCACAGUAAGAGCUUGCUCUUACGGGUGGCGAGUGGCGGACGGGUGAGGAAUACAUCGGAAUCUACUUUUUCGUGGGGGAUAACGUAGGGAAACUUACGCUAAUACCGCAUACGACCUACGGGUGAAAGCAGGGGAUCUUCGGACCUUGCGCGAUUGAAUGAGCCGAUGUCGGAUUAGCUAGUUGGCGGGGUAAAGGCCCACCAAGGCGACGAUCCGUAGCUGGUCUGAGAGGAUGAUCAGCCACACUGGAACUGAGACACGGUCCAGACUCCUACGGGAGGCAGCAGUGGGGAAUAUUGGACAAGGGGCGAAAGCCUGAUCCAGCCAUACCGCGUGGGUGAAGAAGGCCUUCGGGUUGUAAAGCCCUUUUGUUGGGAAAGAAAAGCAGCAGGUUAAUACCCCGCUGUUCUGACGGUACCCAAAGAAUAAGCACCGGCUAACUUCG